rnacentral:tRNA from 1 species
AUUUAUAUAGUUUAACCAAAACAUUACAUUUUCAUUGUAAAAAAACGAUUUUUGUUAUAAAUG